AUACGCAUACAUUAGCUAACAGAAACACACACACUCACUAACAGACACACACACACUAACAGACACACACAGGCAAACACACACACUCACUAACAGACAUACACACACUCACUCACAUUAACACAUUUUUUUUUUUUUUAAUUUCCCCCCCCCCAGCCUCCUUACCUUUGGUAAUGCUGGGGGGGGGUUCUCUAUCUCCCUGGGGUCUAGUGGGGCUGCCAUCGGGCUACUGGGCUGGUUGCUGG